rnacentral:rRNA from 1 species
UUUCUAAUUCUGCCUGGAGGAGCUUGCUAUCUAACCGAUAAUCCACGUUAUACCUCACCAGCCUUUGAAACAUACAGCUUGUAUACCAUCGUCGUCAGUUUACUUCACAAGAAAUGUAGACAGAAAGAACUCUAAACUUCUUAACGCCAGAUCGAGGUGCAGCUAAUAAGCUGGGGAUAAGUGAGCUACAAUCAUACUAAUAACUUAAACCCUAUCGAUGAACGGCAACCUGAAACACUUGCCCAAAACAGGAUUCAGAAGUAAUGGACAAGAGAAAAUGUMCAAGUC